rnacentral:rRNA from 1 species
GUUAGGAAUAUUGGACAAUGGGCGCAAGCCUGAUCCAGCCAUGCCGCGUGAACGAUGAAGGCCUUCGGGUUGUAAAGUUCUUUAGCCGAUGAUUAUAAUGACUGUAGUCGGAAAAUAAGCCCCGGCUAACUUCGUGCCAGCAGCCGCGGUAAUACGAAGGGGGCGAGCGUUAUUCGGAAUCACUGGGCGUAAAGCGUGCGUAGGCGGUUUUGUAAGUUAGGAGUGAAAGCCCAGGGCUCAACCUUGGAAUUGCUCUUAAAACUGCAAGGCUCGAAUCUCGGAGAGGAUAGCGGAAUUUCCAGUGUAGCAGUGAAAUGCGUAGAUAUUGGAAGGAACACCAGUGGCGUAAGCGGCUAUCUGGACGAGUAUUGACGCUGAGGCACGAAAGCGUGGGGAUCAAACAGGAUUAGAUACCCUGGUAGUCC